rnacentral:rRNA from 1 species
AUUGAACGCUGGCGGCAGGCCUAACACAUGCAAGUCGAGCGGAUGAAGGGAGCUUGCUCCUGGAUUCAGCGGCGGACGGGUGAGUAAUGCCUAGGAAUCUGCCUGGUAGUGGUGUAUAACGUCCGGAAACGGGCGCUAAUACCGCAUACGUCCUGAGGGAGAAAGUGGGGGAUCAUCGGACCUCUCGCUAUCAGAUGAGCCUAGGUCGGAUUAGCUAGUUGGUGGGGUAAAGGCCUACCAAGGCGACGAUCCGUAACUGGUCUGAGUGGAUGAUCAGUCACCCUAGAAGUGGGACACCGUCCAGACUACUAAGGGAGGGAGCAGAGGGGAAUAUUGGACAAUAGGCGGAAACCUGAUACAACCAUGGCGAGUGUGUGAAGGAAGUCCUCGGAUUGGAAAGACGUCUUAGGUGGGAGGAACGGCAGUAAGUUAAUACCUUGCUGUUUUGACGUUAACAACAGAAUAAGCACCGGCUAACUUCGUG